CUCUCCCCGGCCCGAUCCGCCCGCCGGCUCCCCCUCCCCCGAUCCCUCGGGUCCCGGGAUGGGGGGGCGGUGAGGCAGGCACAGCCCCCCGCCCCCAUGGCCGCCCGUCGGAGCCAGAGGCGGAGGGGGCGCCGGGGGGAGCCGGGCACCGCCCUGCUGGUCCCGCUCGCGCUGGGCCUGGGCCUGGCGCUGGCCUGCCUCGGCCUCCUGCUGGCCGUGGUCAGUUUGGGGAGCCGGGCAUCGCUGUCCGCCCAGGAGCCUGCCCAGGAGGAGCUGGUGGCAGAGGAGGACCAGGACCCGUCGGAACUGAAUCCCCAGACAGAAGAAAGCCAGGAUCCUGCGCCUUUCCUGAACCGACUAGUUCGGCCUCGCAGAAGUGCACCUAAAGGCCGGAAAACACGGGCUCGAAGAGCGAUCGCAGCCCAUUAUGAAGUUCAUCCACGACCUGGACAGGACGGAGCGCAGGCAGAUGGAGGUUACACAACUUGUCUGAGGCCAUGAGAUACUAAGUGGUGGAGCCAAGAUUUGAACCCAGCUAGAAUGUGCCUGUGUACUGGACAUGGUCUGCAUGAAAGGCGAGGUGGCUGGUGCAGGGGUGAGGGGUCCAUGCAGGGGCCACAUCCAAAAAGGGGAGAGGGAAGUUUCCAGAAAGAAGAGAGGACACAUCUCCCACCAUUACCAGAGGGUCAAAGGAGAACAAGAGACCAGGUGUGGACGGGACAGUGAGUGGCUGGGAGGAAGCCAGAAUCAACAGCUCCAGCCCUCUGCGCUACAACCGCCAGAUCGGGGAGUUUAUAGUCACCCGGGCUGGGCUCUACUACCUGUACUGUCAGGUGCACUUUGAUGAGGGGAAGGCUGUCUACCUGAAGCUGGACUUGCUGGUGGAUGGUGUGCUGGCCCUGCGCUGCCUGGAGGAAUUCUCAGCCACUGCGGCGAGUUCCCUCGGGCCCCAGCUCCGCCUCUGCCAGGUGUCUGGGCUGUUGGCCCUGCGGCCAGGGUCCUCCCUGCGGAUCCGCACCCUCCCCUGGGCCCAUCUCAAGGCUGCCCCCUUCCUCACCUACUUCGGACUCUUCCAGGUUCACUGAGGGGCCCUGGUCUCCCCGCAGUCGUCCCAGGCUGCCGGCUCCCCUCGACAGCUCUCUGGGCACCCGGUCCCCUCUGCCCCACCCUCAGCCGCUCUUUGCUCCAGACCUGCCCCUCCCUCUAGAGGCUGCCUGGGCCUGUUCACGUGUUUUCCAUCCCACAUAAAUACAGUAUUCCCACUCUUAUCUUACAACUCCCCCACCGCCCACUCUCCACCUCACUAGCUCCCCAAUCCCUGACCCUUUGAGGCCCCCAGUGAUCUCGACUCCCCCCUGGCCACAGACCCCCAGGGCAUUGUGUUCACUGUACUCUGUGGGCAAGGAUGGGUCCAGAAGACCCCACUUCAGGCACUAAGAGGGGCUGGACCUGGCGGCAGGAAGCCAAAGAGACUGGGCCUAGGCCAGGAGUUCCCAAAUGUGAGGGGCGAGAAACAAGACAAGCUCCUCCCUUGAGAAUUCCCUGUGGAUUUUUAAAACAGAUAUUAUUUUUAUUAUUAUUGUGACAAAAUGUUGAUAAAUGGAUAUUAAAUAGAA